AGAGUUUGAUCCUGGCUCAGAGUGAACGCUGGCGGCAGGCCUAACACAUGCAAGUCGAACGGCAGCACAGUAGAGCUUGCUCUAUGGGUGGCGAGUGGCGGACGGGUGAGGAAUGCGUCGGAAUCUGCCUUUUUGUGGGGGAUAACGUAGGGAAACUUACGCUAAUACCGCAUACGACCUACGGGUGAAAGUGGGGGACCUUCGGGCCUCACGCAGAAAGAUGAGCCGACGCCGGAUUAGCUAGUUGGCGGGGUAAAGGCCCACCAAGGCGACGAUCCGUAGCUGUCUGAGAGGAUGAUCAGCCACACUGGGACUGAGACACGGCCCAGACUCCUACGGGAGGCAGCAGUGGGGAAUAUUGGACAAUGGGCGCAAGCCUGAUCCAGCCAUGCCGCGUGUGUGAAGAAGGCCUUCGGGUUGUAAAGCACUUUUGUCCGGAAAGAAAUCCAAUCGAUUAAUACCCGGUUGGGAUGACGGUACCGGAAGAAUAAGCACCGGCUAACUUCGUGCCAGCAGCCGCGGUAAUACGAAGGGUGCAAGCGUUACUCGGAAUUACUGGGCGUAAAGCGUGCGUAGGUGGUUUGUUAAGUCUGAUGUGAAAGCCCUGGGGCUCAACCUGGGAACGGCAUUGGAUACUGGCUUACUAGAGUGCGGUAGAGGGUAGUGGAAUUCCCGGUGUAGCAGUGAAAUGCGUAGAUAUCGGGAGGAACAUCUGUGGCGAAGGCGACUACCUGGACCAGCACUGACACUGAGGCACGAAAGCGUGGGGGAGCAAACAGGAUUAGAUACCCUGGUAGUCC
rnacentral:rRNA from 1 species